rnacentral:lncRNA from 1 species
UUUUUGUAUUUUUAGUAGAGACGGGGUUUCACCACGUUGGCUAGGCUGGGCUAGAACUCCUGACUUCAAGUUAUCUGCCCGCCUGGGCUUCCCAAACUGCUGGAAUUACAGGCGUGAGCCACAGCGCUCGCCCCCCGUACUGAUUUGAGGGUCUCCAGAGCACAAAGGCUGCACCGGAUGAUGAAGAAGGAGCUGAAAGAGCCACAGACUCCGUAGAUCCGGUACAGUCCACACACAGGAAAUUCAGUUCUUAGGAUGAACACUUCACCAGAACAAGUACAGUGGUCCCCUCUUUUCCAUGGUUUUGAGCUCCAGGGUUUCAGUUACCCACAAUCAACAGCUGCCCAAAAACAGUAGAAAGACAUGUUGAGAUGGC